rnacentral:rRNA from 1 species
AUACGGAGGGUGCAAGCGUUAUCCGGAAUUACUGGGCGUAAAGCGCGCGUAGGCGGACCAUCAAGUUGGGCGUGAAAGCCCUGGGCUCAACCCAGGAAUUGCGCUCGAAACUGGUGGACUAGAGUCCGGGAGUGGAUAGUGGAAUUCCCAGUGUAGAGGUGAAAUUCGUAGAUAUUGGGAAGAACACCAGUGGCGAAGGCGGCUCACUGGCCCGGUACUGACGCUGAGGUGCGAAAGCGUGGGGAGCAAACAGGAUUAGAUACCCGUGUAGUCC